GACCGCUCUGGGGUCCCCGACCGCCUGGGUCCUAUCCACUCCCGGGGGUGGCUGGAUGCAGGAUGCCCUCAGACCCCUAGUGCGGGCCGCCGCGUAGACCAGCUCCGUGGCGCAAAGGAGCGAGAACGCACACUUCCCAGCCUCAGGAUGAUGUGGCCGCGGGGCCCCGGGCGCCGGCAGCCAAGAGCACACGCUGCGCCGGGGUCCAGCUUUCCAGACAGAGGCUGGGAAGGAUGACUGGGCUGCUAGCUGCUGGCUAGCUGGGAACCGGCGGGACACGAAGAACAGAUCUGGUAUAUGGUGCACAGCCAGGCAGCCUGUGGCUGCCGAGUCCCAAACCGCCAAACCAGUACCUCACACCUUAGAAAUAAGAUUGAAUUUACAGUAGCAGGCACUCGGGCACAGGUUUUCAGUGGUGCUCUGGGUUUUUUGAUGCCCAUAAAUGGGCCGGAAGUUUCCUUUCAGUUGUCUAGACCAAAGAAAGGGUCCAGAUACUUUCCAAACUUCACUGAUCUUAAGGGGUACCUGGCUUGGCGGGCUAGAGAUACAAAAUUUUGCAGCUGGGCAUAGUGAUUCAUGCCCUUAGUCCUAACAUUUGGUGGGCUGAGACAGGAGGGUUACUGUAAGUUGAAGACUAACAAAGGCUACUUUGUGUGUUCUGGACCAACCUGUGCUACAAAGUGAGAUUCUGCCUCAAUAAAACAAGAUGGUGGGCAAGGCCUGACAGGAAAGAGAAAAUGUCAAUUGCCAGGCGUCCUCUUCAGAAUGAGCUGUUCUUCAGGAGCACAGCUAGGCAAGCCCCAGUAAAGGGACGGAGGGGCUCACCUCAGGGUUGUAGUUCUGCCCCUCCCUGCCUUCUCAUCAGCCUGACAGAUUUCCUAACAGGACUCAUUGUGUUCCCGAGAAGCAGCAAGGGCCAGACAGACAGACAGAGACAACAGCAAGACAUCUGGAGAAUAAUGGCCACUAUGGUCCCUAACAUGGGAACUUCUUGGAACUUGUAAGGGUUCAAGGGAUGCCACGCCCAUUCAGGCCAAUGAACUCAGAACUCGGCUUGGGCCUGGCAGUUUUCGAAGCCUCCGUUGAUUACACUGCAGCUGAGGGUCGCGCCAAUCACAGAGAUUCUGUUCUGAUCCUACAACUUGCCCUGUUCUGGAACAGGUCUGCAGUAUGAGGAGAGUGGGGUUGGUGAAGGCUGGGGUUCCUGACCACCUCCUUGAAAAGUAACCUUCCUCUCCAGCUGCCUCUGACCAGCCGUGGUCUGCAUCAGUCUCUCACUUCAAAAAUGAUAUAGGACCUUAAAAGUGAGAGGCUUCAUACUCAAGUUGGAACAGCGUAGAAAUUGCAUAGCUGUCUUCAAGAGGCCAAAUGUUCCCCAAGACUAUCUUUGGUGUUUGACUGAAUGAAACCCAACAGCCAUUGCAGAAAAAAGAAAGACAAUUCUAGCCACAAGCCCUGUCUUCCCAGCCUUCUGAUUCACUGUGGCUGUGAAGCUCGGGCCUGGCUGCCACUCCAUCCAUAAAAACUUCACGUCCAUCAGCUUCAGCCAGCUAGGCAGAGAGCAAAGCUGGCGUCCGGCAGAUGGUCUGCCUUUGGAUGGGAAUUCUGCCUCCUCGUUCACAGGAAAUGGAAGCCGACGUGGCAUUCAAUACUGGAUUGUUAGGUAAUGGUGUGAGGUCAGAGGCCAGGAUCUGCUCAUUAAAAUUUCAGAUAGA